rnacentral:rRNA from 1 species
AGUGAACGCUGGCGGUAGGCCUAACACAUGCAAGUCGAACGGCAGCACAGGAGAGCUUGCUCUCUGGGUGGCGAGUGGCGGACGGGUGAGGAAUACAUCGGAAUCUACUCUGUCGUGGGGGAUAACGUAGGGAAACUUACGCUAAUACCGCAUACGACCUACGGGUGAAAGCAGGGGACCUUCGGGCCUUGCGUGAUUGAAUGAGCCGAUGUGGGAUUAGCUAAUUGGCGGGGUAAAGGCCCACCAAGGCGACGAUCCGUAGCUGGUCUGAGAGGAUGAUCAGCCACACUGGAACUGAGACACGGUCCAGACUCCUACGGGAGGCAGCAGUGGGGAAUAUUGGACAAUGGGCGCAAGCCUGAUCCAGCCAUACCGCGUGGGUGAAGAAGGCCUUCGGGUUGUAAAGCCCUUUUGUUGGGAAAGAAAUCCAGCUGGCUAAUACCCGGUUGGGAUGACGGUACCCAAAGAAUAAGCACCGGCUAACUUCGUGCCAGCCGCCGCCGUAA